rnacentral:sRNA from 1 species
UUUAUUUAUUUAUUUUUGCACAAAAUCUACCCUUUAAUCACCUCCCUCAUCGCCUGCACCAAAUCCCCCUUCAAAUCCUCCCAAUUCUCCAACCCAACACUAACCCGCAACAGCCUCUGGUCAACCGUCGGAUCCGUCAUCGCCCUCCACUCAAUCAACGACUCCACCCCUCCCAGGCUCGUCGCAUGGUGGAACAGCCUAAGCUUCGUCGGCAGUAACCGCGAAAACCUCUCCUCCCUCAACGUGAUCGAAAACACCGUCCCAAACCCAUUCGGCAUCUGCUUCCUCACCCACUCCUCCCUUUGCAAACUGGCAUGCUGGACCGUCUCAACCACAGCAUGGACAAUCGCCUCCUCACUCCUCUCUUUAACAUCCGCCCCCGCCAUCCUCAACGCCCCGUCAAUGAACUCCACAAGCCUCGCCGCACUAGCACUCUGCCGCUGGACGCGAACCUCCAGCGUCCGUAGGCUCCUCACCCCCAACCACCCCUCCAUAUUUCCCAUGAC